rnacentral:rRNA from 1 species
UACGGAGGAUCCGAGCGUUAUCCGGAUUUAUUGGGUUUAAAGGGUGCGCAGGCGGGAGAUUAAGUCGGCGGUGAAAUUUUGCAGCUCAACUGUAAAAGUGCCUUCGAAACUGGUUUCCUUGAGUGUGGAUGAAGUAGGCGGAAUUUGUGGUGUAGCGGUGAAAUGCAUAGAUAUCACGAGGAACUCCGAUUGCGCAGGCAGCUUACUAAACCAUAACUGACGCUCAGGCACGAAGGCGUGGGGAUCAAACAGGAUUAGAUACCCCUGUAGUCCCU